CUGAGCCUAAUGCACACAAAUGGAGCCAGGCUAAUGGAGAGGAAGGAGAGCUUUUUCCAAACCAAUAGAGAAAGGCCCACAGGAAAUGUUUAGCAGAUGUGGCAAACCCAGACAGUUAUGAAAUCAUUGUUCAUUCAUAACUUUACGUAAGUCUGAGCAUGCAGACAGUUGCUUUGCUUUAUUUUGGUUUUACUUUCUGUUUUCUUGCUUGAGAAGAACCCUAGAGCUUCAGGUAAACUCAACCCCCUCUUCGCAGAAAUGUCACUCAUGCUCAUCACAGAUGACGCAGAUGCCGAGGAAGCCACAGAGAGCAAUUGGGCACAGGCGCCUCACCUCUCCGGCACAGCUAUGGGAAGAUGCUUUUGUCCGCCCAGCCAGGGCCAGGAUGACACCAGGGACGCUCAAACGUCUACAGCCAAUUUGGUGACCCCCUUUAAUUUUUGGAAAUGCCACUGCUGGCCCCUCACAGUGGAAAUUCUUCAUGUGCAACCAGCUCAUAAAUAUAGUGUGUUGGAGGCACCUGGAUGGUUAGGACUCAGGACAAUAUUCUCCCCAAAUAUUUUCUCAACAUCCAUCUUCCUGGUGGCAAUUAGUGUCUGAGAUUCUCUUUAACUUUUCCUUGCCGGGGUGACUGCAGUCAGCCGUCAAGGCAAGAAAAGGGAAGUCUGAAAAAGUGUAAAACUGAUCAUCAAAACACAAAACUUUACGUGUUUUUCUCUGAAAGCGCAUGAAACUGGCUGCUUAGCUUCCAAAUGGAAACCCCACACUGCAUGUUCUCCGAGGCUUUUCUGCUUUCUUUUGACAUUUUGACACUGAGCUCUGAAAUAAUAGUGUUAACUGUUGAUCUUUUUUUCCUUUGGAAAUUGGCUUUUGACACUAGACAGCUGGAAAAUCUGAAAGGUUAGCGCACAUCUGGUGCGUCUACCUCAAUAUAAAUGCCAAUGUUCCAUCAAAGCUUUUCACAGAUCAAUGAAAUAAUGAUCACAGGUGCCAAGACACAGGGAUUCACUAAGAUGGACAGCCACACAGAAUUAUGACAAGCAGCAAAGCUUCUUAUUCCUACAAUACAGGGUAGAGAGAGACAACUGUUUGAACUUUCAAAUUGUACACUGGAAGACGAGCACCAUGUUUGCAAUUGAUUCUGCCUCCUUCCAGCUUAGAGCCUUCAGUAGCAGACACGAGCAAUUUCCUACCCUGCUGAGCUCCAUGGGCUCCCAAUGGAUCCUUCAAAGCUGAGCUCCUGGUAACCUCACAGAGAAUCGCUGUGUGGGAAACCAGAGCAGGAGGCUGGAGGCAGGUAAGAGCCGGGCCAUCCACAUGGUAACAUGGAAACUGGGUUGUUUUUCCAGGGCUUGGACCAGGCUUGGGCGUGUGGCUGCUGCACGUGAGAAAUGUCCCUUCUCCCACACACGCCAGUAGCCACACCACUCUCUGAAUAGGAACACCUGCUCUAUGUACCCAGCCCAAUGUAUUACAAUAUUUAUUAGGCCCUCAUGCUGUGGCUAGGUAAAGUGAAGUGACAUACAUUUUAUGAAAUUUGUGUCCCCAUGUCUGUACCUUCAUUCUGACGUCACUGCUCUUGCCAAGAACAGAUCAAAACCGUUGCAUGUUUGGGUUUGUUACUCCCUUGUUCUUCCCACUGUGCUGGCAAGAGGGCGCGGGCGAUAAAUGAGGUCAGGAACACCUGCUCCAUUGCAACUGCUUCUGGACAGACCAGACCUCAGGCCACAUGCUCACCAGUGCUGGGGUUGAGCCCUAUUCUGUGACCCCACCACAAUGAAUAUUGAGGCAGAAAUCGUGAAUAUGACAAGGUCCUGCCCUCAUACUCCUUAAGAAAAAGGAAAAUAUUUUAAAUGAAAUCAUCUUCAUUGUUACAUUUACAAAUGAGGGAUAAAAACCAAACACAUAGAAAAGUAUUUUAAAAAUUCCUGUGUACCCCCAGCGACAUGUACUGUGACACCGUGAGCAUUUUGGCGUCUAUCCAUCCAGAUACGUUCCUACCUGCAUGCAAUGGCAGGAAAGAUCCAGAUACAGAUUUCCAUGCCCAAACACCCUACACCCAGUUGAUGUCCCAGACCUGCUAUCCCAUAACCGACUCUUCCCUUAACAGCAUACCUUACAUGUCCUCUUAGUCAACGGACACACAUCAGCUUCGUCUUCAGUGUCUGUCCAGUAUUCGUGCCAUGCCACUCCAUAAUUUCUUCACAAAAAUCUCCCAUUUCAGGCAAUUUAUGUUUAUUGUUAAGCCAGUCACAUUUAGCAGUGUGGGGUCGUGUACCAACUUUAGUGACACCAAUGUUAAUCAGUUCUGAUAACCACUACAUUGGACAAGCCAGGAUUUUUUUUUUUAAUUCCUACUUGUUUCAAACAACAGUACGUGUUUACAAGAAGGCUUUUGUAAUUCUAUAUUUGCAAAAAGUGUGUAUGUGUCUGGUUCUUUUCUGCGGAUACAUUUCUGGAAGUGCAAUCUCUGGGUUGGCAUUUUGUACACUUUAAACCUUUCUCGUAUGUGCCCCCAAAUCGUCCUCCAGAAAGUUGGCACUGGAGCACACCACCCACAGCGGGGUAUGAGGCCUGAGACGAAAGUGAAUCCUGUGUCUUCUUCAGAGACACAGAAGCUGCUGAUUUCUUCCUGUUCUGGAGACUGACACUUAAAUGUGUCUCAGAAGUGGUUUGGGGCAAAGUAGGGGCAAAAAUUUUCAUGUGGAGGCAACAAAUUUAAAUAACCAAACACAAUGAACCAAAAUUAUCGAUUCUCUGAGUCAUUUUAUAACUGAAUAGUCAAUUCUCUGAGUCGUUUUAUAACACCUGGGACAGCGUCGUGGAGACUGAACACGUGAGUUCUCUGAGUUGCUUUAUACCACCUGGGAGAGUGUGGUGGAGAUUGAACACAUCAAUUCUCUGAGUCGUUUUAUAAUGCCUGAAAGAGCAUCAUCGAGACUGAACACGCGGUGAAUUGCAGCCACUACUCAACAUCAUGCUUUUCACGUCUAGUCUGGAUGGAACAUUCUAGAAGGGCUCUAGGAGACACGUGGAUCCUGGAGUAAGUUGGGUAAAGAAACAUGUUAAAGGAAGGUAGCUCUUAUUUUACCAGAGCCUGUCCUUUGGUUUUUGUUAAAUCCAGAGUAUCUUAAAAUUUAAGAAUUACAUUUUCAGGUAGAAGCUUCAAUACUGUUUAUUUGAAUAAAAUAUAAAUAAUUUAUAUUAACAAGGCUGCUUAAAGUUUAUUGAAUUCUCAAUUUUUUAUGACCUUAUCAUCUCCUUAUGAAAUAACUGUUACUGAACAAGAAUUAAGUCUUAU
rnacentral:lncRNA from 1 species